GUAGGUGGCAAGCGUUGUCCGGAAUUAUUGGGCGUAAAGCGCGCGCAGGCGGUCCUUUAAGUCUGAUGUGAAAGCCCACGGCUCAACCGUGGAGGGUCAUUGGAAACUGGGGGGCUUGAGUACAGAAGAGGAAAGCGGAAUUCCAAGUGUAGCGGUGAAAUGCGUAGAGAUUUGGAGGAACACCAGUGGCGAAGGCGGCUUUCUGGUCUGUAACUGACGCUGAGGCGCGAAAGCGUGGGGAGCAAACAGGGAUUAGAUACCCUGGUAGUCCACGCCGUAAACGAUGAGUGCUAAGUGUUAGGGGGUUUCCCGCCCCUUAGUGCUGCAGCUAACGCAUUAAGCACUCCGCCUGGGGAUACGGCCGCAAGGCUG
rnacentral:rRNA from 1 species